AGAGACAAGCCGAGUGUGCACAAUAUUCAUUCAAACUGACAGAGGCUGUGUGUGUCCUGGGUUGCACUUCCAUCGCUGCUCAGUCUCCCUCGCCUCUCCAGAACCAGACAGUCUGCAGUUUAAAGCAAGAAGACACCGGAGAGGAGGAAAGAAAGGGAAAGAGUGUGCUAAACGACACACAGGGUUGAAGAGGAACAGGAAAAGGGAGGAGGAGGGAGGAGGAGGAGGGAGGAAGUGGGGAGAAGAGUAGGGGGAUUUGACGAAGAGGUGGCGAGUGAAAGAAGAGUACGGAGGAGGAAGAAUCAGAGAGUGGAGGCUGACUGGGAGGGGUGAACAAGGAGGUGUAGAGACAGAGGAAUGCAGAGAAAGAAGGGACGCUUCUGCAGAAGAUUAUGAAGAAGCUGCAUCGAUGUGAACACUCUCGAGUUGUCAUGGUGUCAUGGAAAAUGUAGCGUGGGUGAUGUGUGUUUGUGUAAUGAAGGUGGAUGUGCCCUAAAGAAGAACUCGGCUUAUUUUGAGGUGCGCAUAAUUAUGAGGCAGCUGCAUUACCUCGGGUUAAACAGACCCGUGAAGAGUCAAAAAUAAAUGCUUGGAGAAGAAAAAGCACAAAUUAACUGCAAAAGCCUUGAGAAAAAUGAAGCUACCAGGAAGCCAUUAUCCUUCAGUGCCACGAUAUUCGAGAACUGCAGGAUACCUGGAGUGUCCAGAAGUACAAGAUGUCAAGUUGAAAUGUCAAAAUUGGGCCAAGAAACACCUGAAAACUGAAGGUUUUAAAGACAGAUAAAAUGAGAAUGACUCUUGAUGGAACAGAUGGAUGGCUGGAUCACUGAUGGACUUACUUUAUGCCAGGUGACAACAAAACAGAGGAAAGGUGCUGGUAUGAGCUGGUAUCAUAAACAAUGAGAUGGUUUGAUCUUUUCAGGUUGUAGAAAGACUGGAAUAUAUGGAAUAUAUACUGCCCAGCCAAAAAGAAAAUUUCACUCUCUAACAUUUCAUUGGACCGCCUUUAGCUUUGAGUACGACACUCAUUCACUGUAGCAUCAUUUCCAUAAUCUUCUGCCAUGUCACAGCAUUUAUUUCUGUCCAGAGAUGCAUUCAUUUUCUACCAAGAUCACAGUCUUCUCCAGAACAUCCCAAAGGUUCUCAGUGGUUCUGAGGUUUGGACUCUGUGGAGGACAAUCCAUCUCAUGCUCCCUGAUCCACUCAUUCUCAAUGUGACCCCAUGAAUCCUGGCAUCAUCAUCUAGGAACAUGAAGAAAACCUCCACUGAUGUAAAGACCUGGUCAUUCAGUAUCUUCAGGUAUCAGCUCACCUCAUUCUUUGGGAUCAUAACAUUGGUGAACCUGACCAACCCCAGAUCAUAACCCUAACCCCCACAGGCUGGUAGACACUAGCCAUGAUGAGGGCAUCACUUCAUCUGCCUCUCUUCUUACCCUGAUGCCCCCAUCACUCUGGAACAGGGUAAAUCUGGACUCAUCAGACCACAUGACCUUCUUCCAUUGAUCCAGAGUCCAAUCUUUAUGCUCCACAGCAAACUGAAGCCUUUUUUUCUGAUCAUCCUCACUGAUCAGUGGUUUUCUUAGAGCUACAGCUGUUUAGUCCGAAUCCUUUGAGUUCCCUUCAUGUGGAAAUGUUCUUACUUUCACUAUUAAACAGCCGUGAGUUCCACUGUUGGUUUAAUUCGAUCAUCUAAGAGUUUGUUCCUGGAAAUUGAUGGUUCUCCACUAUCCUUCAGGUUUUAAUGAUGCGUUGGACGGUUCUUAACCUGAUUUUAGUAGUUUCAUCUCCUUAGUUGUUUUCUUUGCUUGAUGCAGGCCAAUAAUUUGACCCUUCUGAGACAGAUUAACAUCCUUUCCAUGACCACAGGAUAUGUCUUCCAACAUGGUUGUUGAAGAAAUGAGAAGCUCCUCACUGCACCAGCUAGAGUUAAAGAAGUUGUUUCAUCACUGCAGUAAUUAUCCAAUGGAAGGAUCUGAACUAUUGAUCAGUUAAAUCCAGGUGGCGACUGUUUUUUUGGCCGGGCAGUGUACUUUCCUCAAACAGUGGUACAGAAAUUAGUCCGCAAUAUUAAAGAAGGCCACAAUCUUCACAUGCAUCUCAGCACUCCACUCUUCAGUUCACCUGCAAAGGUCUCAAAGUUGGCCAAAUAUAUGACCUAGCCCCUUCCUCACCUGAGAACUUGUGGGACCUUCUCAGAUGACAAAUUUACAGUGAGGAAAGACAAUACAGAUAUCUGAACACCAUUUUGGAGGCUGAGGUUGCUGCUUCAGGGUAAUUUGAUUUAGAACAGAUCAAGAAACUGUCCGAGGAUGGCACGCUCAUGGCAGGUAUUCAGAAGAAGGUGGGCUGAACUGGUCACGAAACAUUCUUUGAAAGGCUAAAACUAGACACUUAAAUUUAAAAAAAUGAGAAUAAACAGGCGAGUUGAGAAGUAAUUUAGUUGCAUUUAACCUUCAGAAACACAGAGCUCACAUUUCCUCUGUUAAACAUUCAGGUUUUAGACUCAGUAACAUUUUUGAUUUACUGAGAGAAUUCAGCAAAUUCAUCCCGAUGAAAGCAAUUUCCCUAAUAAUUCUGCACAAAGUGUAUCAUGAUGCAAGCAUUUUUGCAUUUUUUGUGAGUGUUUCCAUUUAUAAUCAUCCUUUGAAAAAAUAUCUGCAACACUCCAAAUAAUAUUCGUAAGUUUAACCUCUUACCACCAUGAGAUGAUUUGUAGAUAAAUCAAAAAUUGCAACGCAAAUAAUUCCCUCAAGGUCUUGAUUUUACACAUUUUACACAUAUAAUUGUCAUAUUAACCUCACAAAUAAAACUAUCC